rnacentral:rRNA from 1 species
GACGAACGCUGGCGGCGUGCCUAAUACAUGCAAGUUGAGCGCUGAAGGUUGGUACUUGUACCGACUGGAUGAGCAGCGAACGGGUGAGUAACGCGUGGGGAAUCUGCCUUUGAGCGGGGGACAACAUUUGGAAACGAAUGCUAAUACCGCAUAAAAACUUUAAACACAAGUUUUAAGUUUGAAAGAUGCAAUUGCAUCACUCAAAGAUGAUCCCGCGUUGUAUUAGCUAGUUGGUGAGGUAAAGGCUCACCAAGGCGAUGAUACAUAGCCGACCUGAGAGGGUGAUCGGCCACAUUGGGACUGAGACACGGCCCAAACUCCUACGGGAGGCAGCAGUAGGGAAUCUUCGGCAAUGGACGAAAGUCUGACCGAGCAACGCCGCGUGAGUGAAGAAGGUUUUCGGAUCGUAAAACUCUGUUGGUAGAGAAGAACGUUGGUGAGAGCGGAAAGCUCAUCAAGUGACGGUAACUACCCAGAAAGGGACGGCUAACUACGUG